UAUAUUAAAGUGUAUGAUGCAUUAAAAUUUUUGAAAUUUUAGGGUUUAGUUUAAUUCUAUGUAAUAUAA
rnacentral:tRNA from 1 species